CGCAGGCGGUUUGUUAAGAUAGGCGUGAAAUCCCCGGGCUCAACCUGGGAACUGCGUUUAUGACUGGCAGGCUAGAGUAUGGCAGAGGGGGUGGAAUUCCACGUGUAGCAGUGAAAUGCGUAGAGAUGUGGAGGAACACCGAUGGCGAAGGCAGCCCCCUGGGCCAAUACUGACGCUCAUGCACGAAAGCGUGGGUAGCAAACAGGAUUAGAUACCCUGGUAGUCCACGCCCUAAACGAUGUCAACUAGGUGUUGGGAGGGUAAAACCUUUUAGUACCGGAGCUAACGCGUGAAGUUGACCGCCUGGGGAGUACGGCCGCAAGGUUAAAACUCAAAGGAAUUGACGGGGACCCGCACAAGCGGUGGAUGAUGUGGAUUAAUUCGAUGCAACGCGAAAAACCUUACCUACCCUUGACAUGUCCGGAAGCCCUUAGAGAUUUGGGUGUGCUCGAAAAGAGAGCCGGAACACAGGUGCUGCAUGGCUGUCGUCAGCUCGUGUCGUGAGAUGUUGGGUUAAGUCCCGCAACGAGCGCA
rnacentral:rRNA from 1 species